rnacentral:rRNA from 1 species
GAUCAUGGCUCAGGAUGAACGCUGGCGGCGUGCCUAAUACAUGCAAGUGAAACGGGUAUCUUCGGAUACCAGUCGCGGACGGGUGAGUAAUACAUAGGCAACCUGCCUUUAUGAGGGGGAUAACCGAGGGAAACUUUGGCUAAUACCGCAUGAAGACUCUAAGGCAUCUUAGAGGGAUAAAAGUUGGGAAACAACGCAUGAAGAUGGGCUUAUGGCGCAUUAGCUAGUUGGUGAGAUAGAAGCCCACCAAGGUAAUGAUGCGUAGCCGACCUGAGAGGGUGAACGGCCACAUUGGGACUGAGACACGGCCCAAACUCCUACGGGAGGCAGCAGUAGGGAAUUUUCGGCAAUGGGGGGAACCCUGACCGAGCAACGCCGCGUGAAAGGAAGAAGGUUUUCGGAUUGUAAACUUCUGUUAUAAGGGAAGAACGGAUUGGAUAGGGAAUGAUCUGAUAGUGACGGUACCUUAUUAGAAAGCCACGGCUAACUACGUGCCAGCAGCGGC